GAUACAGCCUUGAACUGCUGCUGACCUGAGGAUAUAUCAGAAGGAGGGUCAUCCGCUCCUGGACCGCAGGUGGGGAGUUAAAGAACAACAAGAGCUGUGGACUUCAUAUAAUGCAUUAUUUGAGAUGCAAAGCUGAGAAGAUUUUGAGACAGCUCUCCAACGAUGAACAUACUGCGGACCGAGGGAGGAACUAGGAAUUAGAAAUCAUUGCCUCCAAACCAGGGGAAUUUGUGGACUUCUUUUUUCUUUUGGAACCUGGUGACCUGGAGGAAUUGACCCACUGAGCAAUUUCCUUCACCUUCAGCAGUAUGAUUAAGUCAUGAAAACAACUCAGGAUGAGAUAUGGUAUUUAUUUCUACCCCACUUGCUUCUAAAAAGAGAAUUUAAGACAGAUGCAAAGGUUUCUAUCCUUUCCCUGUUUUCUCAUCAUAAAUUCAUGCAAUGUGACUUUCCCAAAUGUGGACUUGAGUUACCAGUGAAGAUAGAAUGGGACAGUCAGACAAUUGAUUGCUGUCAUUUGUCACAGGAAUAUUAAUCUGCUAAAACUGGCACUAAUAUCCUGCUCUAGACCUUCUUAAGGAAAACUUAAAAAUAA